ACCAUGACUGGUUUUAGCAAAAGCCAGAACGUCAGCUUGAUCUGACAGGAUUAUUCACCAUGACUGGUUUUAGGUGCAAGACCGAUCACUGUCACUCUGAAAGUGUCAUCUGUGGAGAUGUUUCGUCUUCCAGGAAGAACUGAGUCUUGUGCCUUGGCUUGAGGCAGCAAUAUUAACGACUGGAGAUGUUGCUUGCUGAAG